UUCCCUGUUGCUCAGUUGGUAGAGCAUUGUGUUUGCAACGCCAUGGUUGUGGGUUCGAUUCCCACGGGGGGAC
rfam:Salmo salar isolate Sally breed double haploid chromosome ssa13, whole genome shotgun sequence.